rnacentral:rRNA from 1 species
GACGAACGCUGGCGGCGUGCCUAAUACAUGCAAGUCGAGCGGUAAGGCCCUUCGGGGUACACGAGCGGCGGACGGCUGAGUAGCGCGUAGGAACGUACCCCAAAGUGAGGGAUAAGCACCAGAAAUGGUGUCUAAUACCGCAUAUGGUCUUCGGAUUAAAGCCUUCGGGCGCUUUGGGAGCGGCCUGCGUAUGAUUAGCUUGUUGGUGAGGUAAUGGCUCACCAAGGCGAUGAUCACUAGCUGGUCUGAGAGGAUGAUCAGCCAGACUGGGACUGAGACACGGCCCAGACUCCUACGGGAGGCAGCAGUAGGGAAUUUUCCACAAUGGACGAAAGUCUGAUGGAGCAACGCCGCGUGCAGGAUGAAUGCCUUCGGGUUGUAAACUGCUUUUAUAUGUGACGAUUAUGACGGUAGCAUAUGAAUAAGGAUCGGCUAACUCCGUGCCAGCAGCCGCCGUAA